rnacentral:rRNA from 1 species
UAGGGAAUAUUGGACAAUGGGGGCAACACUGAUCCAGCCAUGCCGCGUGAGUGAAGAAGGCCCUCGGGUUGUAAAGCUCUUUUGUCCGGAAAGAAAAGCAUUCGGUGAAUACCCGGAUGUUCUGACGGUACCGGAAGAAUAAGCACCGGCUAACUUCGUGCCAGCAGCCGCGGUAAUACGAAGGGUGCAAGCGUUACUCGGAAUUACUGGGCGUAAAGCGUGCGUAGGUGGUUGUUUAAGUCUGAUGUGAAAGCCCUGGGCUCAACCUGGGAAUGGCAUUGGAAACUGGGCAGCUAGAGUGCGGUAGAGGUUAGUGGAAUUCCCGGUGUAGCAGUGAAAUGCGUAGAGAUCGGGAGGAACAUCUGUGGCGAAGGCGACUGCCUGGACCAGCACUGACACUGAGGCACGAAAGCGUGGGGAGCAAACA